AGUGAACGCUGGCGGCGUGCUUAACACAUGCAAGUCGAACGAGAACGGAUUAUAGCUUGCUAUAAUUGUCAGCUAAGUGGCGCACGGGUGAGUAAUGUAUAGGUAAUAUGCCUCUUACUAAGGGAUAACAAAUGGAAACGUUUGCUAAUACCUUAUACUCCUUAUUAACAUAAGUUAAUAAGGGAAAGAUUUAUUGGUAAGAGAUUAGCCUGUAUUGUAUCAGUUAGUUGGUGGGGUAAUGGCUUACCAAGACUAUGACACAUAACUGGUUUGAGAGGAUGAUCAGUCACACUGGAACUGAGACACGGUCCAGACUCCUACGGGAGGCAGCAGUGGGGAAUAUUGCACAAUGGACGAAAGUCUGAUGCAGCAACGCCGCGUGGAGGAUGACACACUUCGGUGUGUAAACUCCUUUUAUAUGAGAAGAUAAUGACGGUAUUAUAUGAAUAAGCACCGGCUAACUCCGUGCCAGCCGCCGCCGUAA
rnacentral:rRNA from 1 species